AUAGAAUCACCCUUAGGUGAACUGUGGAGUUUUGGUAUAGUUUUGGAGCCCAUAGAAAAUCAUGAAGUCCUUGCUCAUCCGGCCCAAAGAAUUGAAGCUUAUUGAAAAUCAUCUGAAGGGUUAGCAUCCUCUUGUGACCUUUUCGUUUAACUGUGAUGAAAAACCCUCAUUGGAAGCUUUGAAAGGAGUUGAUUUCUCAGGUAUGGCUGCCUGUAUGCAUGUGAAUGUAGAAUUGGACAAGGAACAAGAAAAAUGGCUUGAAAGCUUGUUUUAAUGUAUGCCCAAAGCUACCUUUAUUGAUAUUUUCAGAUUGUAUCAGAAUAGUAAAAUGCUGGAAAAUAGUUCCUUUGUACAGUGUGUGGAAUGGGAAAUAGCACAAUUGGCUCUAGCUGAAAGUGUGAUAACACUUUGUUGAGUCUAGUGCACGUGCUAUCCUUUAGGAUGAAUCAAAGGAGUUAUCACAUGAAGCUUAAAGUCAUGUCUAGAAGAAUUCAGAAACGAAUAGGAAAAAAAAAAUGGCAAGAAAUGGAAGGGUAUCAUAUUCGGUUUAUAUGUAUUGUAUCUGAAUCAAUCUUGUGUAUCUCCACUUUGACCUUUUGUUCUUUCAACAAACCAGUUUACCCUCUCAUAUAUGAAAUAUGUAUGUUUUAACACUCUUUGUAGUACCACAAUUUCCCUCAUUCCCCGUAAUGUCAUAUUGCAAAUCUUGCUAUUCUAUGUGUUGAUUGGUUGUCAUGAGUUUCUUACCGUCAUUAUAUAUUGAUUUAUGGUUUCAAAUUAUAUGCUUCUUGCUUCCGUUAUUUAUAUUUUUGGCACACCAAAGGAUCACAGGAAAUCUAAAGUAUACCAUGACCAUGUAUUUCUCUUCUCAAUUACUGGUGACUACAUAUGGUUCCAGAAUGACCAGGUUCUUGGUGUCGUUUAAAUAAAUUAUUGGGUUCUUAUAUGUUAUAACAUCAAAAUGCUAAGCUUAAAGCAAUGAAGCACCCAACUGUUAUGGCUCAUAAUUGAUGAAUCUUAUGAUGUUCAAUUACGAUAUGAUUUUGGUUAAUAAUUCUAGGUAUGUUUCAGGAUUAGAAUGUAUUGUGGAGUUUUUGCAUAAACUGGAUGCUCACUAAAUUAUCUGUAUACCAACUAUAUGUUUAGCACACUAUGGAUGUGAAUAGGGUCACUUUCUUUGUGUGGAUCAGAGUGAGUAGGGUCACUUUCUUUGUGUGGAUCAGAAUGAGGGGAGCGGUGGUGAUAGAGAGUUGAAAGGGGGCAAAGAUUGUCUACUACGGAUACCAACAUUAUGAUGUUUCUAAAGAGGCUAGCUGAGAAUAGGCAUCUUUCUAUCGUCUCUGGGUGCUUGACAUCUUAGGUUAUUAGUUAUUUUUUUAAGGGGAAUUUAUGUGGGCAUCUUCAUUAUUCUGAAGUAUCAUGCAGCCAUUCUGGUACAACACAAAAAUUAGACCGUGGACAUGAGAGUCCAUUCUAUGUGUCAAUAGACAAACAAUGUUAGUUCUUCUGUUAUUUUAUCAUGGUUUUUGCCUUACAGUUUCAAAUUUAAGAUGAUUUUCCCUUUCCUUGUGCUGCUGAAAGUUAAAAAAUUGAUUGUUUGACAUAGAUCAUAAAUUUUUUAAUGAAUUUUUUUGUGUAUUUUGUUUUUUCUAUAGUAUAAUUCUUCAUAUCAAGAUUAUUCUCUAUCGAUUUAACCAGUUUACAUUGAUGUUUAUCACAAUAAGCUUAAUAUUUGCACCUAUUUAUAAGAAUUGUGCUACUGUAUAUUCGCCUAUGGAGAAAGGCAGAAGGCUGGGAAAUAAGCAAAGAAGGUUAGUUAAAGCCAAGACCAGGAAGAAGAUGCAUGAGUUGGAAAAUCCCCUCAAAGUGAUGAGUUCGCUGAUAUGUGAAAAGAGUGACAACCUAACUACGGUAACAUCUCUUUUACUGCACUCGCUAGAGUGUGCAGAUUUAGUUGACUCCAUGCAACGUCUUGAGAGGAGGAAGGGUGAUUGUUUGUUUUUUUGCAUAUGGUAAAAUUAUUUAGGUGUUCAGAUUUGUACUGGAUUCUGAAAUCUUGUGGUCACUGUGAAUUCCAUGAGCUUAGUAGCUUAUUAGUCUAUUGCAAUACACAUACAUAGAUUGUUAGGUCUAAA